rnacentral:rRNA from 1 species
UACGUAGGGUGCGAGCGCUAUCCGGAAAUACUGGGUUUAAAGGGUGCGUAGGCGGCUUUGUUAGUCAGGAGUGAAAGUUUGCGGCUCAACCGUAAAAUUGCUUUUGAUACUGCAGAGCUAGAAUCAGGAUGAGGUUAGCGGAAUGUGGCAUGUAGCGGUGAAAUGCAUAGAUAUGCCAUAGAACACCAAUUGCGAAGGCAGCUGGCUAAACCUGCAUUGACGCUGAGGCACGAAAGCGUGGGGAGCGAACAGG